UCUUACAAAAUUUAAACUUUAAAAGAAAAUCCUUGAUGUCAUUUUUUAUUUAAAAAUUAUGAUAUGUCUCAUAUUAGUAAUGUGACACACGAUGGUUGUAUAUCACUUAAUGAUUGGACUUUUAUUUAUUUUAAAAAUAAAAACUAUUUAUUAAGUGUUUUAAUUAAAUUAUUAAAAAAAUUAACCUUUAAUUUCAUUAAUUCAUUUAAUCACAAAUUAUGCCCCAUCAAUCUUAUCUUCAAUACCAAAUUACUACUAUUUCAUCAACCACAAAUUCCCAUAUUUAGAUCUAAACCAAACUCAUGUCUUCUUCUUUAGGAUUAGAUCCAAACUGAACGAAGUCAUUAAAAAAGUACAAUCAUAAGCAUCACUGGCUUCUGCACGUUCUCUGUCUCAAAAUCAUAGAUGGCAAAGUUCGAACUCUUCCAAUUCCUAGUUGCUAACAACCCUGCGUUCUAGGUCAUGUCCUCAGUCGAAUCCUUACUCCAACAACAACAAAUAUCGACUCCAACAAUGACACCGCCAAUCACGAGUUCAAAUAUGUGAUUUUUAGUGUUCAAAUAUAUGAUUAGGAUUUUCAACCUUCGAGUUCCUUAUAUCCCAAAUCACGAUGAUUGAACCCUAACCCCAAAUUGGUUUCACCUUUGUUCUCCUACUCUCUCUAGCGGCGGCGACACUUUUCUGACCAAUUCUUUGUGACAGGGACUGUGAAGAAGGAAGAAGAUGAUAGGGAUUUUGUUGGAAUGAAUUUUUUUUUUCGUUUUAUGGGUUUGGAAAAAUAGGACACUUUGAGUUAUUCUGAUAAAAAAAUUUGGACUGAAAUUUUUAUUUUUAUUUGUGAUUAAAGAUCGAUUAUUUU
rnacentral:lncRNA from 1 species